rnacentral:rRNA from 1 species
UGUGAGGGAAGAAGGCUUUCGGGUCGUAAACCUCUGUCAGAAAGGAAGAACCGCAUGUGGCCCAAUAGGCCGCAUGCCUGACGGUACCUUCAGAGGAAGCGCCGGCUAACUCCGUGCCAGCAGCCGCGGUAAUACGGAGGGCGCGAGCGUUAAUCGGAAUCACUGGGCGUAAAGCGUACGUAGGCGGCGACGUAAGUCAGACGUGAAAGCCCUCGGCUCAACCGAGGAAUUGCGUUUGAUACUGCGUUGCUUGAGUCCUGGAGAGGGUGGCGGAAUUCCGGGUGUAGGAGUGAAAUCCGUAGAUAUCCGGAGGAACACCGGUGGCGAAGGCGGCCACCUGGACAGGUACUGACGCUGAGGUACGAAAGCGUGGGGAGCAAACAGGAUUAGAUACCCUGGUAGUCCACGCUGUAAACGAUGGAUGCUAGGUGUCGGGGGGCGACCUUCGGUGCCGAAGUUAACGCAUUAA